AAAAUAUUUCUGUUUAAAUAUUAAAGAUAAUAACUUCAAAUUUGUUCAUAAAUCAAAUGUAUAUACGGUGGCUUUUUAAAUUUUGAAUUUUAAAAGUGUCAAUCCAUAUAUAUCACAGAAAAAAAUAUUUAUUACUAGUUUUU